AAACAAGGAAAGGUUGAUCCGAACCUGAAAUCGGAGUGUUUUGGGUUUGCUUGUACCCGGGAAACAAGUGUUCUAGCUUGGGAUAGCUAGGGUCGGAGUUUCCGACGUCUUGUAUUCUAGCUUGGGAUAGCUAGUGUCGGAGUUUCUGACGUUUUGUAUUCGGGUUGAAUACAAAGGAUAGUGGAUUGAAAUUCCCAAGUGGGAUCUUGGGGAAUGGAUGUAGGUGCAAGGUUAGCACCGAACCACUAUAAAUCCUUGUGUUUGUGGUGUGCUUUAUCGCUUUAUCUUAUUUCUUUAUUAUAUUUUUGCAAUACUACUUUAGGUAAUUAAUAUUGAUUUAAAGCCAUUGUUUUGUUCUUCAUAAGUUAUUUGUUGGGCUUAAAAUUUUUAGAAACCCAAUUCACCCCCCCUCUU
rnacentral:lncRNA from 1 species